rnacentral:lncRNA from 10 species
ACUAAGCAAGACAAACACAAAGCAGCAAGUGCAGUGAAUCAGAGAUAGUAUCCCAGCAACCAGCCCCAGAGGACCAGCUGUGGUUUGGAGGUGACAGGAGCAGCAGCCAUCCACACCUGCCAUCCAAACCUGCCAUCCACAGCUACUUGAGUUCUCCAGACCUAGGAAAGACAAAGUCUCACUCUGCUGUCCAGGCUGGAGUGCAGUGGCGCGAUCUCGGCUCACUGCAACCUCUGCCUCCCAGGUUCAAGCGAUUCUCCUGCCUCAGCCUCUCAAGUAGCUGGGACUACAGACUUCCUCUGAUGCACAAACCUGGGAUGUGCUGUGCAAAUCAGCUACCUGGGCUUCCCACCUGUGGAUGCUCACUGACCUGGGGCCGCACCAGGUGAUUUCAGGACUUCCUCAGAGAAAACCCAGGCAAGACACCAGCAACAGAGCUACCCUGAUAAUUAUUAAAUUAGCUCUAUGUGGAGAA